UACAGAGGGCUCAAGCGUUGUUCGGAUUCAUUGGGCGUAAAGGGUGCGUAGGCGGCGCGGCAAGUCGGGCGUGAAAUCUCGGAGCUUAACUCCGAAACUGCAUUCGAUACUGCCGUGCUUGAGGACUGGAGAGGAGACUGGAAUUUACGGUGUAGCGGUGAAAUGCGUAGAUAUCGUAAGGAAGACCAGUGGCGAAGGCGGGUCUCUGGACAGUUCCUGACGCUGAGGCACGAAGGUCAGGGGAGCAAACGGG
rnacentral:rRNA from 1 species